ACAAAAACAAUGCCAGCUCUGCUUUAAUGGAGGCAGAGGCAUGGUGGAUCCGGGAAUGAAUUAGUGAGGUUUCAAGAUUUGGUGGAUCUCAAGUUUGAAUGGAAAGCUUCUUCUUUCCAUGUAAUAAUAAUAGGACAAAGAGGUCAGACUAGGAUGGGAUAAACUUUAAAUUGAAUCAGGUAGUCACAGUCAAGCCCGAGAUAAAGAAUCUAUCUACAGGGCUGAGCAGCGGCAACCCUGCAGUUACUUUUCCAUACUGCAAUUCUGUGAGCUUAAAACUCUCUCUCUAUCUACUUUUACCAAAAAAUUCUCAGAAUCAAAUUCAAACAACUACUGAUAUUAAUAUUAAGUUUCUGUUUUCCGAGUUUAUGCCCACCAAAUGAUGGUCAUUUAAUGGUCACUGUUACAGAGUGAGGUAGCUCUUAAAUUUCUUGUUUGUAUCAACAGGCCUCAUACCAACCCUAUCACUUGAGCUGUUGAUGGCAUUGAAUGCCAAAUAUUGUACGGGAGCUUUUGGUUUAAGAAUUGCAAAUCUAACCAUAUCAAUCUACUCUCCUAUUUCUACCCACAUCUAAAUAGGCUGGAUUUGCCAGUUUAAAUGGAGGAGCUUAACGGAGAAUUAGUUAAAUUAACAUGGGAGUAAUGAGCAAAUUAGAGAAGGAUUGAGGGGUGACAAACCAUGAAUGAGGGAGAAGAGACUGCCGUUGGGGAAGUAGUCGUAGACGAGGAGACGCUCCUCUUUGGCCUGGAAGUAAGCGCGAAGGGGGACGAGGUUGGGGUGGCGCAGACGGCCGAGCUCCUCCAUGCGCCGCCCGAACUCCUCUGGGGGCGGGCGGGAGGCAUCCUUGAGACGCUUCACCGUCACGAUGAAUCCGGACUCCAUCACCGCCUUGUAGGUGCUUCCGACCGUCCCCCGCCCCAGCGUCUCCGCCGAAGCCCGCAAUAGCUCCUCCAGACUGUACAUCUCACCGACAGCGCCGCAGAAUACGAGCUUUCCGAGCCCCUCCGCUUCCCACGAGAAACCGCCUUUGUCUCCUCUUCCUCCUCCACUGCCGCCGACGGCUGCCCCGCCUUCUUCAUCUGGCUUGUUGCGGCCAGCACCUGAUUCGUAACCGACUGAUCGGGUCUCAACCACCGGCCGCCUCCGGUUCCUAUUGCAGAACCAAAGCAACGCGAGGGCCAAGCAAAUUGACAAGAAGAGAGCCCCCGCGACAGACCCGGCGACGAUGGCAAUGGCCCGCCUCCUGCUGUGGUUGCUGCCGGUGGGAGGCAGGAAAGGUGGGAAGGCAUUUACAUGAUCCAAAGACGAUCCCGGGCUGAUAGAAGACGGCGGAAAAAUCAAUUUUUGAGUGCAGGGAACCCCAAUUUGAGCCCCGCAGAGGUUUGCAUUGUCGUGGAAAGAGGAAGCAUUGAACUGUGAAAGGGCUCUGGUGGCGGGGAUCUCGCCGGAGAGGUCGUUCCCAGAGACGUUGAGGUAUCGAAGACUGGGUUGGUUGAAUGCUGGGAUUUGCCCCGUGAGGCGAUUAUCCUCGAGCAUGAGCUCAUACAACCGCGGGAGGCUGACGAGAGACACCGGGAUUGGGCCGGAAAGGAGAUUUCCAGAGAGGGCAAUCACCUUCAGACGGUGUAGCAAGUCGAGAUUGGCUGGAAUCUGGCCGGAGAACUGGUUUUCGCUGAGGUAGAGAGAUUUGAGGUUGACGAGG